GUCUACGGCCAUGCUCCCCUGAACAAGCCCGACCCUUUCUGAUCUUGGAAGCUAAGCAGGGUCGGGCCUGGUUAGUACUUGGAUGGGAGACCACCUAGGAAGACCAGGUGCUGUUGGCG
rnacentral:rRNA from 1 species